rnacentral:rRNA from 1 species
CUUUCUUGGAGAGUUUGAUCCUGGCUCAGGACG